rnacentral:rRNA from 1 species
GACGUAGGGCGCGAGCGUGUCCGGAUUUAUUGGGCGUAAAGAGCUCGUAGGCGGCUUGUCGCGUCUGCCGUGAAAGCCCAGGGCUUAACCCUGGGUCUGCGGUGGGUACGGGCAGACUAGAGUGUGGUAGGGGAGACUGGAAUUCCUGGUGUAGCGGUGAAAUGCGCAGAUAUCAGGAGGAACACCGAUGGCGAAGGCAGGUCUCUGGGCCACUACUGACGCUGAGAAGCGAAAGCAUGGGGAGCAAACAGG